UACACUUAGGUGUAGAGCAUAUAAAUUUUUGAAAUUUAAGGGUUAAAUUAUUAUUUAA
rnacentral:tRNA from 1 species